AUUGAACGCUGGCGGCAGGCCUAACACAUGCAAGUCGAGCGAGCGGUGGACGGGUGAGUAAUGUAUGGGGAUCUGCCCGAUGGAGGGGGAUAACUACUGGAAACGGUGGCUAAUACCGCAUACUCUCGGAUGUACCCAUAGGGGAUUAGCUAGUAGGUGGGGUAAAGGCUCACCUAGGCGACGAUCUCUAGCUGGUCUGAGAGGAUGAACAGCCACACUGGGACUGAGACACGGCCCAGACUCCUACGGGAGGCAGCAGUGGGGAAUAUUGCACAAUGGGCGCAAGCCUGAUGCAGCCAUGCCGCGUGUAUGAAGAAGGCCUUAGGGUUGUAAAGGACGUUCAGCGGGGAGGCGUUACCUGCAGAAGAAGCACCGGCUAACUCCGUGCCAGCAGCCGCGGUAAUAC
rnacentral:rRNA from 1 species